GCCAGUAUGGCGUAGUGGUUUUGAGUGUUGGACUGUAACUCUGGAGGUCAGGGUUCAAUUCCUGCUUGGCC